CCUACGGGUGGCUGCAGUGGGGAAUAUUGCACAAUGGGCGCAAGCCUGAUGCAGCCAUGCCGCGUGUGUGAAGAAGGCCUUCGGGUUGUAAAGCACUUUCAGCGGGGAGGAAGGCGGUGAGGUUAAUAACCUCAUCGAUUGACGUUACCCGCAGAAGACGCACCGGCUAACUCCGUGCCAGCAGCCGCGGUAAUACGGAGGGUGCAAGCGUUAAUCGGAAUUACUGGGCGUAAAGCGCACGCAGGCGGUCUGUCAAGUCGGAUGUGAAAUCCCCGGGCUCAACCUGGGAACUGCAUUCGAAACUGGCAGGCUAGAGUCUUGUAGAGGGGGGUAGAAUUCCAGGUGUAGCGGUGAAAUGCGUAGAGAUCUGGAGGAAUACCGGUGGCGAAGGCGGCCCCCUGGACAAAGACUGACGCUCAGGUGCGAAAGCGUGGGGAGCAAACAGGAUUAGAUACCCGAGUAGUC
rnacentral:rRNA from 1 species